rnacentral:tRNA from 1 species
CGGGCCGUGGCGCAGUGGUAGCGCGCACCUUUGGGGUGGGUGAGGUCGUGGGUUCAAGUCCCACCGGCCCGA